CAUCCGGUGGCACUGACUCAUAUCUUCUCCUCUAGGAAGCUGAGGUGCAAAAUAAACACCAGAAGGCACUAUUUAUGUUUUAUUGUCUUCUGCAGGUACGUGUCUUUUUUGUUUUUUUUUGUUUUAAUGACUGUUGUCAUUCGGUUAUUUAUUUUGUUUACUUGGGGUUGUGGGUUUUCCCCCUUUUGUCAUAAUUAUUUUGCUAGACAGAUCGGUUACGCUGUUGAAGGAAGCUGAGGUGCAAAAUAAACACCAGAAGGCACUAUUUAUGUUUUAUUGUCUUCUGCAGGGUUGACUUCAUGCAUGCACAGAACACAUCCGUUACAUUGGUGCCGUGACCCGGAUCAUCAGAUCAGCUUGAUGCUCGUCGCCGUGGAUGCUGUGCUGAUGUCCUGAUCUGCCUUUGCACUCUUCUGUGGUCAUAUCAAGAAGCUGAGGUGCAAAAUAAACACCAGAAGGCACUA